UCCGGUGUGGUCUAGUGGCUAGGAUACCUGGCUCUCACCCAGGAGGCCAGCGUUCGAUUCCCGGUACCGGAA